UACGGGGGGGGCAAGCGUUGUUCGGAAUUACUGGGCGUAAAGGGUUCGUAGGCGGGUCUUUAAGUCAGGGGUGAAAUCCUGGAGCUCAACUCCAGAACUGCCUUUGAUACUGAAGAUCUUGAGUUCGGGAGAGGUGAGUGGAACUGCGAGUGUAGAGGUGAAAUUCGUAGAUAUUCGCAAGAACACCAGUGGCGAAGGCGGCUCACUGGCCCGAUACUGACGCUGAGGCACGAAAGCGUGGGGAGCAAACAGG
rnacentral:rRNA from 1 species